AGGUUGGGUAUAAACCCGGGAAACUGGGUAUAAUACCCGAUAGGUCUCGAUUGCUGGAAUGCAUCGAGAUUUAAAGCUCCGGCGCCUAAGGAUGGGUCUGCGGCCUAUCAGGUAGUAGUGGGUGUAGCGUACCUACUAGCCUACGACGGGUACGGGUUGUGAGAGCAAGAGCCCGGAGAUGGAUUCUGAGACACGAAUCCAGGCCCUACGGGGUGCAGCAGGCGCGAAAACUUUACAAUGCUGGCAACAGCGAUAAGGGAACCUCGAGUGCCAGGUUACAAAUCUGGCUGUCGAGAUGCCUAAAAAGCAUUUCAUAGCAAGGGCCGGGCAAGACCGGUGCCAGCCGCCGCGGUAACACCGGCGGCUCGAGUGGUAACCGUUAUUAUUGGGUCUAAAGGGUCUGUAGCCGGCCGGAUAAGUCUCUUGAGAAAUCUGGCAGCUUAACUGUCAGGCUUUCAGGAGAUACUGUCUGGCUCGAGGCCGGGAGAGGUGAGAGGUACUUCAGGGGUAGGGGUGAAAUCUUGUAAUCCUUGAAGGACCACCAGUGGCGAAGGCGUCUCACCAGAACGGACCUGACGGCAAGGGACGAAAGCUAAGGGCACGAACCGGAUUAGAUACCCGGGUAGUCCUAGCCGUAAACGAUACUCGCUAGGUGUCGGCCACGGUGCGACCGUUGUCGGUGCCGUAGGGAAGCCGUGAAGCGAGCCACCUGGGAAGUACGGCCGCAAGGCUGAAACUUAAAGGAAUUGGCGGGGGAGCACCACAACGGGUGGAG
rnacentral:rRNA from 1 species